rnacentral:rRNA from 1 species
UACGGAGGGUGCGAGCGUUAAUCGGAAUUACUGGGCGUAAAGCGCACGUAGGCGGUCAGGCAAGUCGGGUGUGAAAGCCCUGGGCUCAACCUGGGAAUUGCAUUCGAAACUAUCUGACUCGAGUAUGGGAGAGGGAAGCGGAAUUCCAGGUGUAGCGGUGAAAUGCGUAGAUAUCUGGAGGAAUACCGGUGGCGAAGGCGGCAUCCUGGACCGGCAUUGACGCUGAGGAGCGAAAGCCAGGGGAGCAAACGGG